AGUGGACAUUGUGUCUUGAGGCCAUGGAAAUGUACCUGGAGGAUCAGAAUAAAGGGGGGGAAGGUGGAGACCCAUUCCUCCAGUAUUAUUUUUUAAUGGCUUUAAAAAAAGCACUCACCGUUGCAGUUCCCUUUUGCUGAGCCCAAAUCUGUGCCUUCCUCCAGGUGAGUCCCUGAGGGCCGUUUUUGCUGAACACUUUUGAGCCCCCAAUGUAUACAUUUAGGGAUCCCACUCCACUGCCGACCAUGUGAUAGUAGAAGAAGAGGCAUUUAUCGCCGCUAAAAUCCAAAGAUACCAACUCCAUCCUAGAUGUAUCACCACGUCUCCGGUCUGAUGCCUCGGUGUACAUGUAAUAACCUGUACAUGGUAUCAUCAUUAACACAAUCAUCAUUAUCACAAAUAUUGCGGCCUAAAUGGAUUAUGACGUCAUCUUUCAAGUCCCUCGCCUUUUACCGCCGGGAAGAUAUUGACCAUGGCAAAGAAGAUGAAGAUAAGUAAAUAUAUGGAUAUAUAUAAGGAUGGACAGAGAGAUCAUUGAAUUUUCUCCUUUGUAUUCCACUCUUAGUGAUAAAAAAACUUAUACUAUU